rnacentral:rRNA from 1 species
GGGUUGUGAGGUUAAGCGACUAAGCGUACACGGUGGAUGCCCUGGCAGUCAGAGGCGAUGAAGGACGUGCUAAUCUGCGAAAAGCGACGGCGAGGUGAUAUGAACCUUUGACCCGUCGAUGUCCGAAUGGGGAAACCCAGUGUGUUUCGACACACUAUCGUUAACUGAAUACAUAGGUUAACGAGGCGAACCGGGGGAACUGAAACAUCUAAGUACCCCGAGGAAAAGAAAUCAACCGAGAUUCCCCCAGUAGCGGCGAGCGAACGGGGAGCAGCCCGGAGUCUGAAUCAGCUUGUGUGUUAGUGGAAGCGUCUGGAAAGUCGCACGGUACAGGGUGACAGUCCCGUACACGAAAAUGCACAGGUUGUGAACUCGAAGAGUAGGGCGGGACACGUGGUAUCCUGUCUGAAUAUGGGGGGACCAUCCUCCAAGGCUAAAUACUCCUGACUGACCGAUAGUGAACCAGUACCGUGAGGGAAAGGCGAAAAGAACCCCGGCGAGGGGAGUGAAAAAGAACCUGAAACCGUGUACGUACAAGCAGUGGGAGCACCUUCGGGUGUGACUGCGUACCUUUUGUAUAAUGGGUCAGCGACUUAUAUUCUGUAGCAAGGUUAACCGUAUAGGGGAGCCGCAGGGAAACCGAGUCUUAACUGGGCGUUAAGUUGCAGGGUAUAGACCCGAAACCCGGUGAUCUAGCCAUGGGCAGGUUGAAGGUUGGGUAACACUAACUGGAGGACCGAACCGACUAAUGUUGAAAAAUUCGCGGAUGACCUGUGGCUGGGGGUGAAAGGCCAAUCAAACCGGGAGAUAGCUGGUUCUCCCCGAAAGCUAUUUAGGUAGCGCCUCGUGAACUCAUCUUCGGGGGUAGAGCACUGUUUCGGCUAGGGGGCCAUCCCGGCUUACCAACCCGAUGCAAACUACGAAUACCGAAGAAUGUUAUCACGGGAGACACACGGCGGGUGCUAACGUCCGUCGUGAAGAGGGAAACAACCCAGACCGCCAGCUAAGGUCCCAAAGUCAUGGUUAAGUGGGAAACGAUGUGGGAAGGCACAGACAGCCAGGAUGUUGGCUUAGAAGCAGCCAUCAUUUAAAGAAAGCGUAAUAGCUCACUGGUCGAGUCGGCCUGCGCGGAAGAUGUAACGGGGCUAAACCAUGCACCGAAGCUGCGGCAGCGACACUAUGUGUUGUUGGGUAGGGGAGCGUUCUGUAAGCCGUUGAAGGUGUGCUGUGAGGCAUGCUGGAGGUAUCAGAAGUGCGAAUGCUGACAUAAGUAACGAUAAAGCGGGUGAAAAGCCCGCUCGCCGGAAGACCAAGGGUUCCUGUCCAACGUUAAUCGGGGCAGGGUGAGUCGACCCCUAAGGCGAGGCCGAAAGGCGUAGUCGAUGGGAAACAGGUUAAUAUUCCUGUACUUGGUGUUACUGCGAAGGGGGGACGGAGAAGGCUAUGUCAGCCGGGCGACGGUUGUCCCGGUUUAAGCGUGUAGGUGUGUGUUCCAGGCAAAUCCGGUUCACUUUAACACUGAGGCGUGAUGACGAGGCACUACGGUGCUGAAGUGAUAAAUGCCCUGCUUCCAGGAAAAGCCUCUAAGCAUCAGGUAACACGAAAUCGUACCCCAAACCGACACAGGUGGUCAGGUAGAGAAUACCAAGGCGCUUGAGAGAACUCGGGUGAAGGAACUAGGCAAAAUGGUGCCGUAACUUCGGGAGAAGGCACGCUGAUAUGUAGGUGAAGUCCCUGCGGACGGAGCUGAAAUCAGUCGAAGAUACCAGCUGGCUGCAACUGUUUAUUAAAAACACAGCACUGUGCAAACACGAAAGUGGACGUAUACGGUGUGACGCCUGCCCGGUGCCGGAAGGUUAAUUGAUGGGGUUAGCGGCAACGCGAAGCUCUUGAUCGAAGCCCCGGUAAACGGCGGCCGUAACUAUAACGGUCCUAAGGUAGCGAAAUUCCUUGUCGGGUAAGUUCCGACCUGCACGAAUGGCGUAAUGAUGGCCAGGCUGUCUCCACCCGAGACUCAGUGAAAUUGAACUCGCUGUGAAGAUGCAGUGUACCCGCGGCAAGACGGAAAGACCCCGUGAACCUUUACUAUAGCUUGACACUGAACACUGGUCCUUGAUGUGUAGGAUAGGUGGGAGGCUUUGAAGCGUGGACGCCAGUCUGCGUGGAGCCGUCCUUGAAAUACCACCCUUUAAUGGCUGGUGUUCUAACGUGGACCCGUGAUCCGGGUUGCGGACAGUGUCUGGUGGGUAGUUUGACUGGGGCGGUCUCCUCCCAAAGAGUAACGGAGGAGCACGAAGGUUAGCUAAUCCUGGUCGGACAUCAGGAGGUUAGUGCAAUGGCAUAAGCUAGCUUGACUGCGAGAGUGACGGCUCGAGCAGGUGCGAAAGCAGGUCAUAGUGAUCCGGUGGUUCUGAAUGGAAGGGCCAUCGCUCAACGGAUAAAAGGUACUCCGGGGAUAACAGGCUGAUACCGCCCAAGAGUUCAUAUCGACGGCGGUGUUUGGCACCUCGAUGUCGGCUCAUCACAUCCUGGGGCUGAAGUAGGUCCCAAGGGUAUGGCUGUUCGCCAUUUAAAGUGGUACGCGAGCUGGGUUUAGAACGUCGUGAGACAGUUCGGUCCCUAUCUGCCGUGGGCGCUGGAGAAUUGAGGGGGGCUGCUCCUAGUACGAGAGGACCGGAGUGGACGCAUCACUGGUGUUCGGGUUGUCAUGCCAAUGGCACUGCCCGGUAGCUAAAUGCGGAAGAGAUAAGUGCUGAAAGCAUCUAAGCACGAAACUUGCCCCGAGAUGAGUUCUCCCUGAGACUAUAAGUCUCCUGAAGGAACGUUGAAGACGACGACGUUGAUAGGCCGGGUGUGUAAGCGCAGCGAUGCGUUGAGCUAACCGGUACUAAUGAACCGUGAGGCUUAACCUUACAACGCCGAAGCUGUU